rnacentral:rRNA from 1 species
UACGUAGGGUGCGAGCGUUAAUCGGAAUUACUGGGCGUAAAGCGUGCGCAGGCGGUUGUGCAAGACAGAUGUGAAAUCCCCGGGCUUAACCUGGGAACUGCGUUUCUAACUGGCAGGCUAGAGUGUGGCAGAGGGGGGUGGAAUUCCACGUGUAGCAGUGAAAUGCGUAGAGAUGUGGAGGAACACCGAUGGCGAAGGCAGCCCCCUGGGCUAACACUGACGCUCAUGCACGAAAGCGUGGGGAGCAACAGGG